rnacentral:rRNA from 1 species
CCUACGGGUGGCAGCAGUGAGGAAUAUUGGUCAAUGGGCGUAAGCCUGAACCAGCCAAGUCGCGUGAAGGAUGACGGUUCUAUGGGUCGUAAACCUCUUUUAUAAAGGAAUAAAGUGCGGGACGUGUCCCGUUUUGUAUGUACCUUAUGAAUAAGGAUCGGCUAACUCCGUGCCAGCAGCCGCGGUAAUACGGAGGAUCCGAGCGUUAUCCGGAUUUAUUGGGUUUAAAGGGUGCGUAGGCGGCCUUUUAAGUCAGCGGUGAAAGUUUGUGGCUCAACCAUAGAAUUGCCGUUGAAACUGGCAGGCUUGAGUAUGUUUGAGGCAGGCGGAAUGCGUGGUGUAGCGGUGAAAUGCUUAGAUAUCACGAAGAACCCCGAUUGCGAAGGCAGCUUGCCAAGCCAUGACUGACGCUGAUGCACGAAAGCGUGGGGAUCAAACAGGAUUAGAUACCCGAGUAGUC